rnacentral:rRNA from 1 species
GACGAACGCUGGCGGCGUGCCUAAUACAUGCAAGUCGAACGAGAGCGACCGGUGCUUGCACUGGUCAAUCUAGUGGCGAACGGGUGAGUAACACGUGGGUAACCUGCCCAUCAGAGGGGGAUAACAUUCGGAAACGGAUGCUAAAACCGCAUAGGUCUUCGAACCGCAUGGUUUGAAGAGGAAAAGAGGCGCAAGCUUCUGCUGAUGGAUGGACCCGCGGUGCAUUAGCUAGUUGGUGAGGUAACGGCUCACCAAGGCCGUGAUGCAUAGCCGACCUGAGAGGGUGAUCGGCCACAUUGGGACUGAGACACGGCCCAAACUCCUAAGGGAGGCAGCAGUAGGGAAUCUUCCGCAAUGGACGCAAGUCUGACGGAGCAACGCCGCGCGAGUGAAGAAGGUUUUCGGAUCGUAAAACUCUGUUGUUAGAGAAGAAUAAGUGCUAGAGUAACUGUUAGCGCCUUGACGGUAUCUAACCAGAAAGCCACGGCUAACUACGUG